AUAUAGAAUAACUGUUAGGGAAAUAUUAUUUCAAUGUAGAAAUCUGAAAAUCCUGUCCCCCUAAAUAUUAGAAACCAAAGUCUUUUAAAUUAUUUCUGCAAAUACUGCCUAGUAUUAGCCAUUAAGACUGUGUUUCUGAUAACAGGAGCCUAAUCUCCCAGCUUCCUGACAGUUGUGCAAGGCGCCUAGUUAAAUCACACCACCACCAAGCAAAACAAAACCAUGCAAAAUUAGUACACAGUUCAAUGAGACAAGCAAAAUACCAACAACAGUCUCUUAAAAGAAAAUUCUACUCUAUGAUCUUGUUUGUGUUUAUCAGACUGGGGUAGCUGGGAGGAGGGCCGGCAGUCAUGGCCCUCUGGCAUGUUUGCUAAUUCCCUUAACAUUUGUUAUCGAUGCCACCUCCUCCCUCCGUCUUCCUCAGGAGCCUCUGUCUUGCUCAAUGCUUUUCCCUUUCAUUAAUCCUUUAGCUAAAAACCUUGCUUUGGCCAUCAUGUCUUUGUAUACUUCCAAAGCUUGAUCUCUGUGACCUUCACUGUUGAACCUGAUUGGACAGGGAAGCCUUAAAUAUUUAAAAGUAUAUUCUCCUGGAAUACGUAUAUGUGUUGUUUACAUAUAUAUACAUAUGUAUUGACACAUCAGUGCUUUUAAUCAAAAAAAAACCAAACAUUUUUGUGCAAGUUUUUUUUUUAAUUUAAGACAAAAAAGCACUAUAUUGCAAGAUAGAUUAAGUUAAUUGAUUAUAUGUUGUUUUGGUAAAAGUAUUUUAAAUUAUGUGUAAUUUAUCUAAUAAUUAUUUAUUCAUCUAUUGUAUUUAUGUUGUAAUUUUAAAAAUCAUUGAUCUGAUUCACCCUAGAAAAUAUUAAGCUCUUGAAAAAAAAAAAAAGCAACAUUGCCUUGACAGGUUUCUCUUCACCAAAAAUUGUAUAUUUUCUAUUUACCAAGAAGCAAAUGAGACUGUUAGACCAGGUUUCUCAUGAGAUUCCAGAAGACAAGUUUGUCUGUCUUUAAAUAGCUUUUUGAAUCAGGAAUUUGCAUCAUAUCACAUCAGAUAACUUUGUAGUUCUUUUAAAAAGAUGGUCAAUAUUUAUCACUCCAACUUCUCAAUGGUAAAAUAAAAGAAUCUUUGCCCAC
rnacentral:lncRNA from 1 species